UACGUAGGGUGCGAGCGUUGUCCGGAAUUAUUGGGCGUAAAGAGCUUGUAGGCGGUUUGUCGCGUCUGCUGUGAAAAUCCGGGGCUCAACCCCGGACUUGCAGUGGGUACGGGCAGACUAGAGUGUGGUAGGGGAGACUGGAAUUCCUGGUGUAGCGGUGAAAUGCGCAGAUAUCAGGAGGAACACCGACGGCGAAGGCAGGUCUCUGGGCCACUACUGACGCUGAGAAGCGAAAGCAUGGGGAGCGAACAGG
rnacentral:rRNA from 1 species